rnacentral:tmRNA from 1 species
GGGGGUGCACUGGUUUCGACGGGGAUCGUCGGGGGUAUGGUAAGCGAGCCGCGGACCCUGACCGCGUAAAAACGGGGAACUUAAAAUUAACUGACAACAAUCAGUACGCUUUCGCUGCGUAACGCAGCGCGUCGGCCCUGAGCGCCUACGGCUCAGCCACCCGGCGUCAUUGAUGUAGGGAACGGGGCUAUGUAAGCUUUGCCAUAGCCCGGCGCCAUGAAGCUACCGACGCGGCGAGCCUGACAGGGGGCGCGCCGCCGGGGGAAUCCCAAAACCCUGCCUGCGCUCGGAGAAAACUGUGCAACUGAAUUCUCGGACAGGAGUUCGAUUCUCCUCACCUCCACCA